CCUACGGGUGGCAGCAGUGAGGAAUCUUCGUCAAUGGACGCGAGCCUGAACCAGCCACGUAGCGUGACUGAUGAAUGCCCUACGAGUUGUAAACUUCUUUUAUAAAGGAAUACAGUGACGAACGUAUGCCUUUUUGUCUGUACUUUAUGAAUACGGAUCGGCUAACUCCGUUCCAGCAGACGCGGUAAUACAGAGGAUACGAGCGUUAUCCUGAUUGAUUGGGUUGAAAGGGAGCGUAGAUGGUUUGUUAACUCAGUUGUGAAAGCUUGAGGCUCAACCGUAGAAGGGCAAUUGAUACUGGGAGACUUGAGUGCAGUAGAGGGAAGUGGAAUUCGAGGUGUAGCGGUGAAAUGCUUAGAUAUCACGAGGAACACCGGUGGCGAAGGCAGCCUACUAGACUGCCACUGACAUUGAUGCUCGAAAGUGUGGGUAGCAAACAGGAUUAGAUACCCGAGUAGUC
rnacentral:rRNA from 1 species